AUUAGAUGGCAUAGGGAAGGGCCUUGAUCCUCUGUUUGACAUAAUUGAGAUUGCAAAACCCUAUGCACUGGAGUUGUUAAGAUUCCGUGAAGCUGGAGUUGAAGUUGCCUUGAAGGACUUCAGAAAGACAUGGGACAGACAGCCCUGUGCAUUCUAUAACUUAUUUGGGCAGGCAGAUAGAGUUGAGAAGGUUGCUGAAACCAUCCAAAGAUUGGAACAAGGUGAUCUGAAGCUUAGAGUGCAGACUUUGGAAGCUAAAAGGGCUUUCCAACG